rnacentral:rRNA from 1 species
GACGAACGCUGGCGGCGUGCUUAACACAUGCAAGUCGAACGGAAAGGCCUGCUUUCCCUUGUGGAUUGCGGGUACUCGAGUGGCGAACGGGUGAGUAACACGUGAGUGAUCUGCCCCCAACUUGGGUAUAAGCCUGGGAAACUGGGUCUAAUUCCCGAUAGGACUGCAGGGUGGUGCCUGUGGUGGAAAACGAUUUUCUAGUGGUUGGGGAUGAGCUCGCGGCCUAUCAGCUUGGUGGUGGGGUAAUGGCCUACCAAGGCGGUGACGGGUAGCCGGCCUGAGAGGGUGGACGGCCACAUUGGGACUGAGAUACGGCCCAGACUCCUACGGGAGGCAGCAGUGGGGAAUAUUGCACAAUGGGCGGAAGCCUGAUGCAGCGACGCCGCGUGGGGGAUGACGGCCUUCGGGUUGUAAACUCCUUUCGACCGCGAGGAAGCCACCUGGUUGGAAGGGUGGUGACGGUAGUGGUAGAAGAAGCACCGGCUAACUACGUG